AAAAAUGAUGGGGUAGGGGUGGGGAGUGGGGUAUAUGGGAACCUCUUAGGUUUUUUAAUGUAACGUUUUGUGUGAUCUAUUAACUUUAAAAAAAUAAUUACAAAAUAAAAUAAAAUUAAUUAAAAAAAAGAACAACAAAGCUAAGUUCACCCAAAUAUCACCCAAAUAUCUCAACUACUCUCCCCUCAGACUCACAGCCAGAAUGACAUCAACUCUGCCCAAGGAGAGCAGAGGGACACUUGCAAACGCAAAAGGACAGAGUGAUAUUGGGCGGUGACAGGAGGGGGCCAAGUCACAGAAUAGCCUCCCCCGAAGCGCACCCACCCCUCCGCUCUCCCAUCUUCCGCCCUUACUUUGGGAUGCUUUGGGGUGGGCCGGCUUGGGGAAGCGAUGGCCCCAUCCCUUGCUGUCCCGGAAGUCCCAGGUUCUGGACGCUGUGCAUGCUGCGGGCAUCUCUUUUUGGCUGCUCGGGGCCGCCGGUGGCGGGACCAGGUUCAGGGCGGGAGCCAACACCUGGCGGGUGCAACCCCCCGACCUGGAGGCGAGGAGGAGCUAGCGGCGGCCCAGGGAAAUGAAAAGGUAAAAGGAGAAAUCCCUGCGACAGAAGCGCAGUUUCCCAGGGGGCCUCUGUGCGCCCCGCCGCCGGCAUAAACGUGCCCACAGUGGUGAAGUUCAUCCUGCCUUCUCCAGGGCGCACCUCCGGACCGGCAGGCGCCGGGAGGGCGCAGCAUAAAGCCCUAGGAACUGGGCGAAGACCGUGAAGACAGUGGCUGCUCGGGUGGCCUUCCCGGCCGGCCGUAGGGCGCCCUGGAGCUCUGAAUUCUAAUUGACUCGUGGGGCCCUGCAGCGGGGAGAAGCUCCCCUGGCUGCUGUGGAAGCCAGAGCGCAGCACUGGUGCGCCCCGUCCUCAAGAGGGGGCUCCCUGGGGUCUCAGGUAGCUUCACCCUCCCCCGCAGUAACGAAGGACAGACUCCUGCCGGAGAAUUAUGACUUGGUUUCUUUAGGGACCCGGCCACUCGUUCAGUCUCCUCCCAGCCAUCCUACCUCUAUCCGAAGUGUGAGGCUCCCCCAGAUUUUGGUGUUUCUACCUUAGUCCCUUGGCAUCUAUCUUGGUAUUUCUUCCUCACCCUCCCCCAGAUUAAAACAAAUAUAUCAUUUCUUUGGUACAAUGUGCAAUGCUGGGUGUCAGAAUCCCAGAGAAGGAGAUAUGUUUUGCUCUCUCUUAAAGAAACAGCUCCUUGUUGGAGUGAUUUUCCCAAAGUUGGGCCGCUGCUAAGAAGCUGUCAGAGCCAGAGUCCUGCCUGACUGCAGAGGUACUCACCCUUUGUCCCUGUCACUGAUUUCCUGCCUUGGUCCCAUAAAACUUAACCUCUCUUUUUUCAGAUUUCCUUGAUGGAAAGAACUGUCAUGGAAGUAGCAUGGCUACCUUCUCAGAAAUGAACAUGGAACUUUCCUUCUGUCUGCAUUGAGAUCUUCUGAGAAUCACCUAAAGUCUUUGUGGAAAGGGCUUUGGAGUUAGCAAGACAGACCUGUUUUGAGUCCAGCCUCUGCAACGGCCAGUCAGGCAGGCAACCCCCACAGCCCCCAGUUCUUGCCUAUGGCCCCGUGGGGUUGCUGAGUGGCUGGGUAGUUGUUGGGGUGGGGUGCAGCAGUCCUGAGUGUCGCUGCCAUUGACCUUCCUAGCGCUGUCAGCCCCCACACCUAACAGCCAAAUAAACAAUUGCUUCUGCUUCAGAGAGCUGCUGCCUGGAAGUCCUAAUGUUGAUGUUAUUUUUUUCCAUAGUUGUAACAACUUUAUAGGGGGAAAAAAGGCCAUAUUGCAUGGAUGAUGAUCUUUUCAUCUCAAAAAUAAUAAUAGGAAUGUGUCACAAUGUUAUCAAUGGGUGAUUCUAGGUUGAGGGCUGAUGGUAGUUAUUGGAUUUUGAGGGCCUCCUUUCUGUAAAUUUGAAAUUAAAAAAAAUAAAUGGGGAAUAAUUAAUGAAGCAGUUUUUAAAAAUCACUCAUCCAUGAUUGCUGAUUUAUAUGAGUUUUCAUGUGCUCACUGU
rnacentral:lncRNA from 1 species